rnacentral:rRNA from 1 species
AUGAACGCUGGCGGCGUGCCUAACACAUGCAAGUCGAACGAAGAGGCCCCUUCGGGGGCACUUCAGUGGCGGACGGGUGAGUAACACGUAGGUACCUGCCCCGAAGUGGGGAAUAACGGUCCGAAAGGACCGCUAAUACCCCAUGUGAUCGCAAGAUUAAAGCCCCCUUCGGGGGAGCGCUUCGGGAGGGGCCUGCGGCCCAUCAGCUGGUUGGUAGGGUAAUGGCCUACCAAGGCGACGACGGGUAGGGGACCUGAGAGGGUGACCCCCCACACUGGCACUGACACACGGGCCAGACUCCUACGGGAGGCAGCAGUGAGGAAUAUUCCACAAUGGGCGCAAGCCGAGAUGGAGCAACGCCGCGUGGGCGAUGAAGGCCUUCGGGUCGUAAAGCCCUUUUCCGAGGGACGAGCAAGGACGGUACCUCGGGAAUAAGUACCGGCUGACUAUGUGCCAGCAGCCGCGGUAAGACAUAGGGUGCAAGCGUUAUCCGGAUUUACUGGGUGUAAAGCGCGUGUAGGUGGUCUUGUAAGUUGGACGUGAAAUCUCUCGGCUUAACUGGGAGGGGCCGUUCAAUACUGCGAGGCUUGAGGGCAGGAGAGGGAGGUGGAAUUCCCGGUGUAGUGGUGAAAUGCGUAGAUAUCGGGAGGAACACCAGUGGCGAAGGGCGGCCUCCUGGCCUGCUCCUGACACUGAGACGCGAAAGCUAGGGGAGCGAACGGGAUUAGAAACCCCGGUAGUCCUAGCCAUAAACGAUGGAUGCUGGGUGUCGGUGGUAUUGACCCCAUCGGUGCCGAAGCCAACGCGUUAAGCAUCCCACCUGGGGACUACGGCCGCAAGGUUAAAACUCAAAGGAAUUGACGGGAGCCCGCACAAGCAGCGGAGCGUGUGGUUUAAUUCGAUGCUACGCGAAGAACCUUACCCGGGUUUGACAUGCAGGUAGUAGUGAAGCGAAAGCGGAACGACCCUUCGGGGAGCCUGCACAAGUGCUGCAUGGCUGUCGUCAGCUCGUGCCGUGAGGUGUUAGGUUAAGUCCUGUAACGAGCGCAACCCCUAUCGUCAGUUACAUGUGUCUGACGAAACAGCCGGUCAUAAGCCGGAGGAAGGCGGGGAUGACGUCAAGUCCACAUGGCCUUUAUAUCCGGGGCUACACACACGCUACAAUGGCCGGUACAAUGGGUCGCCAAGCCGCGAGGCGGAGCCAAUCCUAUAAAGCCGGUCUCAGUUCGGAUUGCAGGCUGCAACCCGCCUGCAUGAAGUCGGAGUUGCUAGUAACCGCGCGUCAGCCAUAGUGCGGUGAAUACGUUCCCGGGCUUUGUACACACCGCCCGUCACGUCAUGGGAGCUGGUAACACCUGAAGCCGGUGUGCUAACCGCAAGGAGGCAGCUGUCGAAGGUGGGAUCGGUGACUGGGACGA